GUGUCAGCCGCCGCGGUAAUACGUAGGUGGCGAGCGUUGUCCGGAAUUAUUGGGCGUAAAGCGCGCGCAGGCGGGAAAGUAAGUCUACUCUAAAAGUGCGGGGCUCAACCCCGUGAUGGGGUGGAAACUGCUUUUCUUGAGUGCCGGAGAGGAAAGCGGAAUUUCCAGUGUAGCGGGGAAAUGCGUAGAUAUUGGGAGGAACACCAGUGGCGAAGGCGGCUUUCUGGACGGGGUCUGACGCUGAGGGGCGAA
rnacentral:rRNA from 1 species